rnacentral:rRNA from 1 species
AGAACGAACGCUGGCGGCAUGCCUAAUACAUGCAAGUCGAACGAACUCUUCGGAGUUAGUGGCGCACGGGUGCGUAACGCGUGGGAAUCUGCCCCUUGGUUCGGAAUAACAGUUGGAAACGACUGCUAAUACCGGAUGAUGACGAAAGUCCAAAGAUUUAUCGCCAAGGGAUGAGCCCGCGUAGGAUUAGCUAGUUGGUGAGGUAAAGCUCACCAAGCCGACGAUCUGUAGCGUGUUGAGAGAACG